CUCAUGUCUGCAUUUCACCCAAACAAACACACACUACUAACACCCUCAAAGUCACAAACAAAACUAAAUAGGCAGACUCAUCUUCAAAACACCCUCUCCCUCUUCGGUGCUCUUUCCGGCGGCGAACCAGCUCCGAUCGGAGCUCCGGCGACCACACCCACACCGGUAAACCCCCCCCCUCUCCUUUCUCCUCCGAUCUACACCCCCCAUCCCCCUUUCUGAUUCUGAAACGGACCACCACCACUGUCUGGUGGUGGUGUGCGGCGGCUAACAAGCAGAGAGAGAGAGAGAGAGACCGAGAGAGAGAAAGAGACUGAAAGAGAGAGAGAAAAACCGGCGGUCCGAUUGAUUAUCCGGCGGUCCGACGGUCGGUUCGUUUAUCCGGUGAUCGAUCUGACGAGCUUCGAUUCAGGUGGUGGCAUUCACGACCUCAGGAGCGGCAAAGGUAGCUGAUGGCGGCGGUGGCGGUGGUGACCGGCGGUCCUUGCUUCGGUCCGUCGGAUUUCAGCGGUAAGAACCCUCCCCGUUCCUUGAUUCUGGUUCUUUUCUAGAUAAUUGCUGAAGAUGACAAUCUCGUUUUGAUUUCUGAUGAUUUUUGAUGUUGAUGGUGAUGACGAGGGUGGUGGUGGCCGACGCCACUGCCGGCAACGCCGACUGACGGUGGUGGGGUUGUUGAACUCCACUUUUUGGUUCAAACCCGGCUCAAGUUCUCGUUCACUCAGUCCGGAUCGGAUUUGGUUAUGGGAAAUUAUUUUAGGUUCGGUUCAACCUCGGGUGUCUCAGUUCGGUCUGAUAAAAAACAGUCAAGAUCAGCGGGUUUGGGUCAACAAAGACAUCUGGUCAGCGGGCUCAAGUCUCGGUUCGAGAUACAUCAUUUUCGGUUCGGUUGACUCGGUCAAACCGAGUCGACCCGGUCACACCGAGUCGACCCGGUCAAACCUGGUCAACUCAGUUGACCCGGUCAACUCAGUCCAUGUUUCGACGUCCCGACAAGAGAUUUGGAAUAUUGUAGAAUGCACGCUAGCAAGUCAAGUCUUGGAAACGACAUCGCAAAGUCGUAUAUAGCUAGCCUUGCACAGGAAUAUUCAGGCGAGUUCAUAACCCCCACUUUUUACUGUUUUACGUUCUUUUUGUAAAUGUUUUCGGGGUGGAAAGACAUGCACGAUUUUCAGAAACAUACAAAGUUUUGAACAAACGUAAAACUCGUAUUUCUAAAGCAUAUCACGAAUGGAUUUCGAGGAACUCAAAUGAUUUACGAAAGUUUUAUACUAAACAUACCGGUUUUUACAAAACGAAUGCUUAUUUUCGAAAUAUGAAUGAUUUUUCAUAACUAAGGAGUCAGCCUUAGUGGCUGGGGAAGGUUCAGUCAGGGUGGCUGGGAAGGUUCAGCCAGGGUGGCUGGGGAGGCUCAGUCAGGGUGGCUGGGGAGGUUCAGCCAGGGUGGCUGGGGUGGAAUAUAUGUUACAGUAAUUACGAAUACUUUUUACAUGGUAUGGUUAGCGUAAGGAGGUUUACUACUUAGAUCAUGUGAGUGGGUAGGCGGGAACUGGAGGCCAUUAAUCCUCAUUGUAGGACCGAGGGACGUAAGCGGUAGAUCUAUCUGGGUGUAGCGAGCCCAACCCCAGGCCCAGCAGAACGGACCUUGGGGUGACUUUGUGCCCAACGCAAAAUCCACUAGGUUUGAGUCUUCCUACUUGCACUUCACACAUAUCAAUGGCCUUGCAAACCAUUGGUGAUCUCUUUUUCCUUAUUUGCUACAUACCAGGGAUUUUUAUCGUACACACUUACAAAAUGCUUGAUUAAUACAAAAUAAAAACCAUGUUUUAUACAAAUUCAAAGUAUUGGAUUAUACGGGCAUAGAGUCAAAGUCAGGGUGGGCAUUGACGGUUAUACAUACUUUACAAAUACAUGGUUUUACGAUCAUAGAUCGUCACAAAUACAAAGUCCUCAUAUAACUGGACAAGAAAAUGAUUUUUAAAUUCGUUUCGAAAACCGGUUACUCCAAGAAUUUAUUUCAAAUCUUUCACAACUCAAAAGAUUUAUUUCAGAUCUUUUACAAACAAACUAUGAACUCGCUCAACUUUAUGUUGACUUUUUCGCAUGUUCUUUCUCAGGUUGCAUUUCUAAUACAAGGCACGGUUGGAAUAGGAGGACCAUGAAGAGUCGAGUACUUAGCGGGCGUUCAGUUUCUAGAAAGACUUAGUUUAUUUGCUUCCGCUGUGCAAUGAAGAUACCAGUCCAGUCACGCCAAUGCUCUGAUAAUUUCGGGGUGUGACAUCUUUUACUGUUUUCCAAACUGUUUUGGGGGGUGAAACACAUAUGCAUACUUGUUACUUUCAAGCUUUCCUGUUUUCACAUCAUAUGCUUAUUAUGUUCGUUAGUACAUAUAUAGUACAUGAUUUCAUUGUGUUUA